rnacentral:rRNA from 1 species
CAAUAGCGUAUAUUAAAGUUGUUGCAGUUAAAAAGCUCGUAGUUGGAUUUCUGGUUGAAGCGACCGGUCGGGCGUUGAUUCGUCUGCACUGGAGUCGGUUUUGGCCAUCCUCUAGGAAAGUGCGUCUGGUAUUAAGUUAUCGGGCGUAUGAUCCUGGUCUUUUACUGUGAAAAAAUUAGAGUGUUUAAAGCAGGCCUUCGCCUUGAAUACAUUAGCAUGGAAUAAUAAGAUAGGACUUUGGUCUAUUUUGUUGGUUUGCAGACCGAAGUAAUGAUUAAUAGGGAUAGUUGGGGGUAUUUAUAUUCCGAUGUCAGAGGUGAAAUUCUUAGAUUUUCGGAAGACAAACUUAUGCGAAAGCAUUUACCAAGGAUGUUUUCAUUA